GGAUGGUGCGGCCGAGACCCACACAGACGGGACGCGCAGAUGGGAGCGACGCCAGUCCGUGGCUGCGUAGACCAGAGCCCGUGGGGACCGCGCUCCCAAACCCUCGCUUUUCUCUACGCGACGGCCGAAACCGAGGGUCAGGGGCACCGGCCCACCGCCCGUUCCGUUCUAUGAAUACCUGGGUCAUUAUACUGACCUCACCCUGAGGACAGCUCUGCCUUGCAGUCACUUUCGGUGUGGUGGUGGCAGAAGACUGGAGACCUUGUCCCUCCCAGGAUGUGUCUGAGGUUUAGCAGGGAAUUUCCAGAGGCACAGGUGAAGCCCAGCUCCCCUGCUGACUUGCUGGAUGAUUUGGACAAAGCCCCUUCCCUUCUCAGAGCCUGCAAAGGACAGCGAUGCUAACAACAGCACCUGCAUACAUCCCAGGUUGUUGUGUAAUUGAAUGAGAUAAUGCACAUAAAGUGUAUUGUGCAACUGUGGGACUGCAAAACCUUGUAAUCUUAGAAUUCUUGUAGCCCUGACUGUAAUUAAAUGUGAGUUAAUGAUUAAGAAGCUUGUUAGUUCUGGGAAGCUAGAUAAAAUUUGUAACAGACAUGGAGUUUUAAAAGUAAAUUACUCAACUCCUUGUUUGUCCGGAGAACGGACGUUCCUGAACCCACUAUCUGUAGGACAAUCCAUCAGUGUGUCUGCCGACCAUCAGUACAUGACAGUUGUGACCAUUAGUGUGUGUGUCUGCCAACCAUCAGUACGUAACAGCCAACCACUAACCUUUGUUCCUUUUCUCGUAAAUCUAUAUGUUAACCUCCCCCUCAACCCCC